UACCUACUCCCUCCGUCUGAAAAAGCUUGUCCCUCAAAUGGAUGUAUCUAGCACCAAGUUAGUGCUAGAUACAUCCAUUUGAGGAACAAGCUUGGGACAAGUUUUUUCGGACGGAGGGAGUACUAG
rnacentral:pre_miRNA from 1 species